rnacentral:tRNA from 1 species
AAGAAAAACGUAUGUGUGGCUGGGCUGCUAACCUGGCCUCGGGAGUAGAUUCUUCCUUUUCUUU